GAAAAGUGUGCAAGCUAAAUAAGUGGGUAAAGAAAAGUAGACAGACUAGACUCACUUCUUCUUGGGCAAGUUGAAAGAAUUUUUGUUCAUGGUUGAAAUUGAGUGUGAUCAUGGGGAAGACAUUCGACUCUUGUUUUCACUUCAUUUCUAUUUUUGUAUGCAAAAGAAUCUGUGUAUAUUCUUAGAUGUUUAAAAUUGACAUGAUCACUGUUGAAGCAGGCUGAAGCUUUUCUCUCAUUGGCGGAGCUCUUGCUCCUGCGUUGUACGAAUUGCUCUCAAUCUUAAGGGUAAAUGGAAUUUUGAUUUACUAAUCCUUUUAUUUUAUUUUUAAGUUACUCAAAAAUCCGCUUCAUUUAUGUACCUAUAUGAUUAAUUGUGAGAAAAAUGAUCAGAGCUGGAGUAUGAGUACAUAGCGGUUAACUUGCAGAAAGGAGAUGUUAUGUUAAUGUUUGCUCUAAUGUAUGUGCAAAUUAUGAUAAAUAUUUUGAAUUUGAAAGACUUUUUGAAGCUUAAUCCGGUUGGAUUGGUGCCUGUGCUUAUGGAUGGAGAUACUGUUGUUUCAGACAAUUUUAUUGUAUCUGGAGGAGAGGUAUCCUCCUCAACGUCCCUUGUUACCUCACGAUAUACAGCUGAAGGCCCUCAAUUACCAGGCAGCAAACAUUAUUUUUGCAAGCAUACAACCUUACCAGAAUGUACCCAUCGUUCGGUAUAUUCAACAAAAACUGGGAGCUGAUGAGAAGCUUUCAUGGGUUCAGCAUCAUAUUAAAAAUGAGGUUUGCUGCUCUGGAGAAGUUUUUGGAAAAAUUCGCUGGAAAGUAUGCUACAGGAGAUGGAGUUUAUCUGGCUGAUUUGUAUUUGGCACCUCAGCAAUUAAUGGUUCAGCGUUGAUAUGGUAUGUCUUCAUUGAAACCCCACAAAGCACUUAUGAUGGAAUGGAAUGGAAUAAAGAUAGGAAUGUAAUGAAAAUUCUUUUGCAUUUCCGUUCUAUUCCAUCAUAUCAAGCAAAGAAUGGAAUGGAAUGGAAGUAGGAGUCACAUUCCAUUCCCUCAUUCUAUUCCAUUCCAUCAUACCAACAAGGGCUUCUUGUAUCAAUUUACUGUUUCAAUACCUUAAAUUCAUUUUCAUUUAUGUACAUUGAGCUCCAAAUUUUAUCGUUUCAGUUACUUAGGAAUACAUUUUCAUAUCAUGCAAGUAUUACACUCUUUUGUUUCUUGUAUGCUUUGAAACAGCUUAAUACUUGAGCUCCAAAUAUUUCUGGUAAACAUUAUGAACUUUUUCUGUACUGAAUUUUUUUUAUAAUUCAGAUGUUUAAUUUCUGUAAAUUAUGGACAUGGGUUUCUUUUCCAUUAAACUACAGAAAGAGUUCCCUCUUUUGUCAAAGCUCAACGAGGCAUACAAAGAACUCCCUGCUUUUCGAGAUGCAAUGCCUGGGAAGCAGCUUGACACGCCACCUGAGGCGAGAGACUGAUGGCACGAUUCUUUAACUAGAACCAGUCUACCUUGUUGUUUGCUAUAUCUCAUCGUGCAACACGGCCUCUACCAUCCUCUCCUCAGCGUGCUUAAAAUCAAUUUGCUCAGCUUCCCGCAGAAUAUUAAUGCUCUAAACGCACGUUAACAUUCGACAGAUAAUGUAUGCUUUGGUGCCCAAGCAAGAGAUGUACUGUAUUACUCCAUUCAAUAAGGUGGAAUCAUUAAUGAAAGGACCUCUGUAUAGCUUGUAAGCACACAACGCAUCAGUCCUUAGCUCUGGUUCUACACUCAAACCACUGUUUACUUAUUGUUUGAAUUUGUGUAGUAGUUUAUAUCAACAAACUCACCUUAUGACUUUCUAAAUAGUGAUUAAUACAAGUUGUGGUACUUGGCCAAA